AUACGGGGGGGGCAAGCGUUGUUCGGAAUUACUGGGCGUAAAGGGCGCGUAGGCGGGCAGGAAAGUCUCUCGUGAAAUCCCACGGCUCAACCGUGGAAUUGCGGGAGAUACUACUUGUCUUGAGUUCGGGAGAGGAGUGUGGAAUUCCCAGUGUAGCGGUGAAAUGCGUAGAUAUUGGGAGGAACACCGGUGGCGAAGGCGGCACUCUGGACCGAUACUGACGCUGAGGCGCGAAAGCUAGGGGAGCAAACGGGAUUAGAAACCCCAGUAGUCC
rnacentral:rRNA from 1 species